ACGAACGCUGGCGGCAGGCUUAACACAUGCAAGUCGAGCGAGACCUUCGGGUCUAGCGGCGGACGGGUGAGUAACGCGUGGGAACGUGCCCUUUGCUACGGAAUAGCCCCGGGAAACUGGGAGUAAUACCGUAUGAGCCCCUUGGCCUUGGCGGUCUUGGGGGAAAGAUUUAUCGGCAAAGGAUCGGCCCGCGUUGGAUUAGGUAGUUGGUGAGGUAACGGCUCACCAAGCCGACGAUCCAUAGCUGGUUUGAGAGGAUGAUCAGCCACACUGGGACUGAGACACGGCCCAGACUCCUACGGGAGGCAGCAGUGGGGAAUCUUAGACAAUGGGGGCAACCCUGAUCUAGCCAUGCCGCGUGAGUGAUGAAGGCCUUAGGGUUGUAAAGCUCUUUCAGCUGGGAAGAUAAUGACGGUACCAGCAGAAGAAGCCCCGGCUAACUCCGU
rnacentral:rRNA from 1 species